GAUGUCACUGUGAUAAGUGCACAGAGAAAGGACACGGUUUUGCAAUGUGUGGCAGCGAGGCCCUGACCCGUGGGGCACUGUGGGGAGAGUUGAAAGGGGGACACGUGGCCCCAGGAGAGAGCGGGCCGUCUGCUGGGCAUUGCUCAGUCUCUAUGGCCACGAGAAGCAAGGAGGCUGAGGGUCACCCCCAGGACACGGUCACAGUCCCUGGCCAUGUUUCUGGGCCUGAGCCAGUUUUCCAACUGGAACCCACUGUCUGAGGAGGCCUGGUCUGCAGGAGGGGAGACGUCCUGCUCGGCUUUCGUCCCUAGCCUGGGCUCAGAGAACAAGGGGGCCUGGCCCAGGACAGAACCAUGGGGAGCCCCUGGGCUGAGCUGGGAGUUUGCACAGCAGCCCAUGGAUGUCCGCGGAGGCCUCAAGGUCCUUCAUGAGCUGGCUCUGGUCAGUGGACGGGGCACAUGGUGAGUACCCGGAGGGAAGGAGGCAGGGCCUCCAUGGCUGGGGAGACUCAGGUUGUCUUUUCUUAUCCGGGAACACCAGUACUGGGGGAGGGGAGGGCAGAGGCUCCAGGAGCAGCCCAGAGGGAGGCCGAAUGUGAGCCAAGGGCAGUGGCUGUGAUACGGACUGUAACGUGUUGUUGCCUCAGGCCUGGGGGACAUGUGGAGAGGAGUCCAUGGGGUGAUGACCAGUUCUGAGGAAGGAGGCCCAGUGAAUAGAGUGACCUGCUGUCCCAGUGUGCCAAGACUGAAGAAGUGCCUGGGAUAUGGGAAUGUUAGUCCUCAAGCCAAGGAAGUCCUGGCCCGCGCAGCUCGUCCAGCCCGCACAGCCCACGCAGCACACACGGUGCCCGCAUGGUGCCCGUACAGCCCGCACGGUGCCCGCACAGCACACACGGUGCCCGCACAGCCCGCACGGUGCUCGCACAGCACACAAGGUGCCCGCACAGCCCGCACGGUGCCCGCACAGCCCGCACGGUGUCCGCACAGCCCGCAUGGUGCGGGGGUGCCAGGUGUCCUUUCACUGCUGUGCAGUGCCCUGAGGUCACUUGGGAAGCCGCUGCCACUCUGUUUUGUCGUGGCUGACAAACUGUCGCAAGCUUCUGGUGGCGGUGGCCGGUUGCUAAUGAUCGCAGGGAAGAAACACCUCCUCUGAUUUUUUCAAACUCUGCACAGUUAACGUGUUUCCAAUAGAGAACUGAGAAUUACGAUUCAUUCCUAAUGCUUCAUCAGUGUUUAAUAUAUGGAAGAUCUUACUGUUAACCUCCCGCGAGGACGCGCUCAUCUCAGUCGCCUUUUAAGAGGGCUUCUUGAAAGUCAAAAUAAUUCCCACUGGUUAUUUUUAAUGCUCUUAUUGUAUGAAUUGCAUGAAAAUAUUCAGCAGACGAUGUAGG
rnacentral:lncRNA from 1 species